rnacentral:lncRNA from 1 species
GGGGUUAACCUGGACAGAAGAGGAAUGGUAUGCAGCAGAUCCAACACCUCGCUCAAAUAUAUUUCUUUUCUUAGUGGUGGGAUAAAACUUUUUUGAUUAAAGUAGUUUUAUUACUAUUUUUGUUACAUUAUUAUUAAAUAUCAUGUGAUGUGCAUUUUCAUACAUGCAGAGGGGAAUCAAGAGAGCAGACAUUGGAUAUGUCUUCAGAGUGCAUUUACAGAAGUUAAACAUCUCUUCAGUGGUUUUUGAAAGAAUUGAGGGAAAUUCAGAAGAUACUGAAGGAAAUUUCUCUAAGAUAUUUAGUCUUUCCAGAUGGAAUAAGGCAAUACCAAAUGCUCAGUAGUAGACUUUAAUAUCAUUGAUACCCUGGAAGAAUAUGUUUAGACAGUGCAUCCAGCUCCCCUUUUGGCCUCUUGAACACCUGAAGAGAACAUCCAGUAAGGAGUUUUGGAGUGUCAGUAGCAACCAAUGUUGAUUUUUUUUCCCAGCUUUUCUCUGGCCAUUAAGAAAAUGUAAGUGGAGUCACACAGCAUGUGUUUUUUCUGUCUUUGAUUUCUUUUAUUCAAUGUGAUGUGCCUAAGAUGAAUCCAUGUACAUGCAGGUAGUGUAAUUGUUUCCCCUUUGGCUCCUUUAUAGUUCACAGAUGAAUGUGUAUGAAUGUGCCAAGUAUUGUUUAAAUCAAUUUCCUACUGAUAGACACUGAGGAC